GGAUCAAUUCCGCCUAGUUCUGCCGUAACGAGCCAAUUAGGAUCGCCAGUGCACUAUCGUCUGUGAGAGCUUCCGGAAACGAAUUUUCCGAGUAAGUAUAGUUGCAAGCUGACUCUAAGGGAAUUGACGGAAGGGGCCCCACCCAGGAGUGGAGCCUGCGGCCUUAUUUUGACUCAACACCGGAGAAAACCCCACCCCGGCUCCGACACCGUAAAGAAUGAACAGAUUGAUUAGCUUUUUCCAUGAUUCGGUGGAUGGUGGUGCAUGGCCGUUCUUAGUUCGGGGAAGCGAUUUGUCUGGUUUAUUCCGAUAACGAGCGAGACUCUGACCUACUAAAUAGUUGACGCAUUGCCCAUUGUGCGCACAACUUCUUAGAGGGAUUUUCGGUGUUUUCAACCGCACGAAAUUGAGCAAUAACAGGUCUGUGAUGCCCUUAGAUGUCCGGGGCUGCACGCGCGCUACACUGGCAAACGCAACGUGCCUGUCCUGCCCAGAAAGGAGCGGGUAAACCCCUGAAAUUUUGCCGUGAUUGGGAUCGGACAUUGCAACUAUUGUCCGUGAACGAGGAAUUCCUUGUAGGGGCGAGUCAUCAACUCGUCCCGAAUACGUCCCUGCCCUUGUA
rnacentral:rRNA from 1 species